AAAACAAAUUAAAAAUCUAAUUGUACUUUAAUUGUCCUGAUGUAACUAGGAAUCUGCAUGACUCAGUAAGAGAUCUGGAGUCUAACUUAUUGGAAAGGGGCAAUUCAGUCACUUCUGAAUUGGUGUUAUGGCACCGCAAAGGACUUUUAUGUUUAAGAAGACGACAAAUGGUUCAAUGUACUUUGUCUAUAAUUCACCCAUCCAAUCCCAUCCCAUAGCAAGAGAAGAGGCACUCCAUUGCCUGAUGUAAUUAUCUUGUAAUAUAACCUUCUCUUAGAAAAAAGAUUAAUAAUGUUCUCUACUGUAUAAACUUAAUUCUGCUUUUACUAUAUCUAUAUUUUAGGAAAAGCAGAUAUUUGGGACUUUAGAUUUCUGAUUUUAAAUUUUAUAUUGUGGGGUCUUUUCCUGACAUGAAGGUUUUCUAAUCAUUUCAAAUUUUUUUCCAUAAAUUAUGUCAUCACAAUUGAGUUUUAGAGAGAAAAAUGCACUGAGUAUUAGAGCUGAAAGCUUAAUGCUUAUAAGGUAGGAAUUGCUAACACUCUCAUAGCUUUUGGAUUUUAUUUAGAAGGUAGCAGAAAGGGGGUCUUGUACUUAAGCUAAUGAUUAACAGGAUAUAAUAUUUUAAACCACUUUAAAUAUUUACAACCUCUUGGCUAAUGUCACACGUAUCACAUUUCUUAAGUUCAAUAUUGUCUUUCAAAGACAAUAUUAUCACUGUUACAAAACAUUCCUAAAAUUUUCAAACGCAUGGUAUCAUAUUCUGAGAUUUCCAAUUUUAAUAAAAAUAAUUCUUUUCAGGUCCUCAUUCUAAUCUCAGGUCCUGAUCUAAUUAUCUGAUAAAUGAAUUACACAUAAAUUCAUUUUAAGAAACAUCCAUAUUUUUUAUUAUUUUAAAAUGCAGAGCAAUAUUAUGAAUGAGUGAUUACUUUUAAUUUUUUAAAUAAUUUUAUUUUUCCUAUUAUUCACACAGUGGAAUUCAUUAUUUUGGGGAUUUGAAUGUCAAAAUUAAAAAAGUCCUACCAAGACUAUUUGAAUACUGGACUAAAGGAAAGACAAUUAAAUUAUGGUUCACCUCACUAGAAGCAGAUAAAAAAGCAAUAAGGACAACAACAAAAAAUCAAAUAUAAUUAGUUAACGUGACUAUGCACUCAUAAUUUUGCAGUCAAAGUGCUGAGGGAUUUGCUUGUGGUCACAUAUGAAAUCCUCACAACUCUUACUUAAUCCCCAUUUCAUAAAUAAUAGAGGUAGGAAGAGAACUGACUUAACCAGAGUUAAAGGCAGGAGCUGGAUUCAACUCAUAUCAGCUUCACAGUCUUACAAACUAGGUGUGAUAAUCUGAAUGAGAAUUGUAACUCAGCAUGUUUACAUGCAAAAUCUAUUAAUACCAAAUUGCACCAUAUGGUACAAAAUGGGAAGAAAUAAUAUUCUAAUUUCUAUUUUAGGCUCUGGUCUCAUAAACUAAAUUAAAAGUGUCCAUUUCUGAUUGUUCUUUCUUCUUUUAACUCUUCAGAGCAACAUUAGUGGGCAUUUACACUGAUGACUGCACGAGAUGUAUUAUGUAUGAAGUAAAAAAAAGUUAGCUGUUGGUAAAUUUUUAAAUGCCUUACACAUAUUUAUUUCCUCAUCUGUUAAUAAUUAAGACAUUAAGCAUAGUUUUGAAAAUAUGGGAUAUUAAAUAAAACAGAAAAUGCAUGUGAUUUCACUAUGCAGACAUAAUUUUUAUAAUUUUCCAGAUAUAUUUUAGAAAUGAUAAUUAUAAAAUGAUAAUCAUAAUGGAUAUUUUGGUUUAUGACUGCUUUUUCACUUACCAUUAUAGAAUCUUUUAAAUGAUAUGUCUAUCCUUAUACAACAAAUUUUAAUGAAGGCAUAGCUGAGUAUUUCUUAAAACAUUUUGGAUGCCUUGGCAGCAAUAACUGCCCUACCGCUCCUUUCAAAACAUUGUUAGUGUAGUAGCUAAUUUCAUCACAUGUAGGUUUGCGAAAACCUGGAGCUCAUUUUUCUUGUACCUGUGUUGACAAGAAUUUUGAAGUAGCUUUAAUAACAUACACACACACACACACACACACACACACACUCUCUCACUCUCUCUCUCUCACCUCUCUCUCUCCUUUUAUCAUAGUGUCAGAGAGAAAAUAUGCAAGACACAAACAUGCAAUUUAGAUAAUACCUGGACUUUCAAAAUGAAAAUGUUAUAUUAGAAAAUUCUUAUUUCCACAGAAAAUUCAGACCUUAUAAUAGUGAUAGGUGGUAAUAAUUUAUGAGAAAAGAUAAGGAUAUUGCCUGUGACUUGCAUUUUGUGAAGAGGCUUUUGAAUAUCCACAGUGCAAAUUAACACCUGGGAGAUUUAUCAUUCUUUGCUUUAUGUACAAAAACAAAAAAUCAACAGCUGUUAAGUGUUUUAAAUAACAAUGUGCAAUUGUCUAGGAUGUAGAAAGUGUUUCUCAUGUAUUAUCAUUGAUGAAAAAGUUCAAAGUAGAGAAACCUUUGAAGUAUUAUCUGGCUUCCUUAUUGGAAUAUGAGCAAAACAGCAUUUCUAAUAGUUUAUAUUAAUACAGAGUUCAUGGUUUGAUCUCCUUGAUUCAGAAUGGAUUAUACCAAACUUUAAGAAGAACAAUUAUAAGCUUUAUUUUAAUAGUAACAAUGUUAAAUACAUACCUUUUUUUUCCUCCAUAUAAUUGUAAAUAUUUGUUCUAAGCUACAUAAGGAUAAGUGGAUUCUAGUUUCUAACUACCACUAAUAUGCUACUGGCACUCCAUGUAGAGAGAAAAAAGUAGAGGUUUAAUAUAUAAUUGUAUACUUUAUGGUCUUAUUGAUACUUUUCUAGACAUUGCUUUUGUGGUGAAUAAUUGGAAAUAAACCAAUCUGUAUAUGUUCCUUAUAUACCAUCUGGCUAGUGGUUCUAAAUAACUAUACCAAACACGAGCAAACUACUAUAAUCUUGGCACAAAACAUGAUCUGGAAAACUUCACGUGCAAAGUUGCACUUAAUUUGGUUCUCCUUUAUCCAUUUGUACAUUAAUUAUUUCAUGACAUCUUGAAUAAACUGUUUCUCUGUAAAACUAGAGAAUAGGCAACAUUCUCUUAACAUCACUUUAUUUUGCAUUGGGGUGAUUUUAUGAAUCAAGUAAAUUACUGUAAGAAAAUGCCUUCAGAAUUUUUGUUUUCAAACUAAAAUCAUCAACAUCUUUGCCAAACAUUUCCCAACAAUUAAUAAUCUUAUAACAUUUUUAUAGAAAAAUAACUCAUCUGUUUCCCAAUUACGUAUUUGCAAAUUGUUAUCCUGAAGAAACCAAAAGGAAAUUAAUUUGUUCAAAGAUUUUCCUUUGGAAUGGAUAAACAGUGAGAUUCUGCUGUGUAGCACUAGGAACUAUGUCUAGUCAUUUAUGAUGGAGCAUGAUAAAGUGGAAAAAUAGAAUGUGUACAUGUAUGUGUGACUGGGUCACCAUGCUGUACAGUAGAAAAUUGACAGAAUGCUGUAAAACCAUCCAUAAGAGAAAAAAAAAUAAAAAUCAUUAUAUAAAAAAUGUAUAUUCUAUGUUGAAACUUUAAUGAAAUUGACUAUGGUAAUGGCAAACAAUUACUAGUUACAUUUUCUUUGAAAAGUUUGAAUGCUUGUUUAGCUGUUUUCUUAUAUGUGCUCCAAGGACUCCAUUCUUCAAGAACUCUUAGUCCACCCACAGGUCCUUCCUUAGUUCACUUCAUUUUUCCUUUAUAUACCAUAGCUUUUGUGCACUCUUCUUCAUUAACUAUAAAACUAUAUGGAUCUGACUUAAACCUGAAUCAUAUUUGCUGUCCAGAUUUUUCAGGGAAUAUAACCCUAAACUCUGUGGUAUCUAAUUCUUCUCUAAAGUUUUAAUGUAAGGAUCAGUCAUUUCGAAGGGGCUCCUGAAGCAUGUACAAGGUAACCGCUACUCUCAAUUACCUACACGAUGUCCGAUGAUCAUCUGGCACAAUGAUGGUAGUGGAACUCCCCUGUUUUGUCUUCUUUUAUAGUUGCUUUGUUGAAAUUUGGUUAUGCCAUUGGCCUUAGAUCAGAGACAUUAUAGGAAGCAUCCAUAAAAAAUGUUACUGUAUUUAUCUUAAGUAAGUAUGUUAGCAAAGCGUAUGUCCACAAAAUUACAUCAUGUUCCCUUUUAUCAAGAUCAAUGGGUUGUAUUUUUCUAAUGAUUCUUUGUGGAAUUUCUUUUGAGAAACUGGUUUGGUUAUCUCAUGAAAACCUUUGUUUCUGUUUUCUAUUCUGUUUUGUCUCUUUGAUACUACUUCAUCAAAUGUGUGACUACUUCCAAAGACUGUUUAGGAUGUCAUUGAAAAUAUUUUAUGUGAUUAUUGUCAUUAUUCACUUUAUGUUGAAAUUUUUAAAAUUUAGUAAAAGUAGGUCUUCAAAAUUUCAACCAUUUUGUUCCUCACUCUCCACAGAGUAUAUGUAAAAACUAAUCUAAUUCUAUCAAGUAAAAUAACAUGACAAAUGGAGAGAUUUCUGAUGCAUAUCCUAUUUAAUGUCCUGUAUAAUCAUUUUUACAUUUAUUUCUGUGUAAUUAAUGAUGAGUUUAUGAAGUUGUGAUUGAGUUUAUUGGUUAAAUUGGUGUCUUUAAAGAGGUUUAUCUCAACAUAAAUCAUGUAUAAUUGAUUAAAAAUAAAUGCAAGAGUUUUUUUUUUAAUGUCAUUUUACUGGUAUGCACAUGAAAGUUCCAAUACUGCUUUCUGUCAUAUACAGAAAAAAAUAAGUGAUAACUGUAAAAUGGUAGGGAAAAAUUAUUCAUUGUCGAUUGUACUAGCCCGAACAGUCUGAUAACAUAAAGUUAUCUUAAAUUUAUACUAUUAAAGAUCCAUUAUGUAUGUAAAUUAUUCUUUACUUCACAGCAGAUGAAUUAGCUAAUUUAGAAAAUGUGCAAUCUCAGAAACACCAGAUAAUGAGCAUCUUUUGCAGUGAAAUUAUCUUAUGCUAUAAAUGUCAAAUACUCUUCUUCUUGGCAGGCAAUUCUGGAAAGCUCCUGUAACUUGCACUUUUCUUUAAAUGAAUUUGAGAUGAAAAUGUCCAUUCAAGUAUUUUAAGGUAUAAUGAGCUCCAUGGAUCCUAGAACAAGUAAAAUACUGUCUGCUGGUCUCAUAUUCUUAGGCGAUGUAGUGUAUCAAAAUAGCAAACUUGCUGCAGCUAAUAAAAGUUAAAACCUCUCAGCAAGAAACAUUUUAAAAACAUAAUCCUUUUGAUUAUUUUUACAACAUAUUUUAUGAUGAUUUGCUAUCUUCAAAAGAGAGCAAUGACAUAAUUAAAGGUUUUUAUAAUGACUUGAAGUCAUCAUUAGGUAUACUCAAAUACAGUAUAAUCAAGUAAUGUCUUUGAGGUCUUUACUGAUGUUUUGCUUCAGACUUCUAAGCUUUCUGACAUUUUCUGCUUAUUUUAAACUUUAGUAUUGUUUCAGCUGCUAACCUAAAUUUCUUUCUAUUAUUAGCUAGCCUUCUUAGUCUACUUCUUCCAAAAUAUUUCUAAAAUACUGAUCUACUGGUAAUUGCAAGGCAGC
rnacentral:lncRNA from 1 species